rnacentral:rRNA from 1 species
UCGGAAUUACUGGGCGUAAAGCGCAUGCAGGCGGCCGCGUUAAGUCAGAUGUGAAAGACCGGGGCGUUAACCUCCGGAAAUUGCAUUUGAAACUAGGCAGGCAGAGUCUUGUAGAGGGGGGUAGGGAAGUUUCAGGUGUAGCGGUGGAAAUAGCGUAGAGAUCUGAAGGAAUACCAGUGGCGAAGGCGGCCCCUCGGACAAAGACUGACGCUCAGAUGCGAAAGCGUGGGGAGCAAACAGGAUUAGAUACCCUGGUAG